CAGUAGCCACGGUAAUACGAAGGGGGCUAGCGUUGUUCGGAAUUACUGGGCGUAAAGCGCACGUAGGCGGAUAUUUAAGUCAGGGGUGAAAUCCCGCAGCUCAACUGCGGAACUGCCUUUGAUACUGGGUAUCUUGAGUAUGGAAGAGGUUAGUGGAAUUGCGAGUGUAGAGGUGAAAUUCGUAGAUAUUCGCAGGAACACCAGUGGCGAAGGCGGCUAACUGGUCCAUAACUGACGCUGAGGUGCGAAAGCGUGGGGAGCAAACAGGAUUAGAUACCCCGGUAGUCCCUGUCUCUUAUAC
rnacentral:rRNA from 1 species